rnacentral:lncRNA from 1 species
ACAAUUCUUGGAUCGUUUCUACCGUGACUGAAGUUGAAGAAGUGAAGAUGGUGUUAAAGCUUCUCCCAAUUUGGGCCACGUGUAUACUUUUCUGGACAGUUUAUUCACAAAUGACUACAUUCACUGUGGAGCAGGCAACCUUCAUGAACAGAAAAAUUGGCUCCUUUACUGUGCCUUCAGGUUCUUUAUCAGCCUUUCUAUUCAUAACCAUCCUUCUCUUUACUUCACUAAACGAAAAAGUGUUUGUUCCCCUGGCUCGAAAAAUCACACACUCCAUCCAAGGAAUGACAAGCCUUCAGAGGGUUGGCACUGGACUAAUUUUUUCAGUGAUUGCUAUGAUUGUUUCUGCCGUUAUUGAGCAGCAAAGGAGGGAAACUUCAGUUCAAAAGCACAUCCAAAUAAGUGCUUUCUGGCUAGUCCCUCAGUACUUUCUUGUCGGCGCAGGCGAAGCUUUUGUUUAUGUGGGACAACUUGAGUUCUUCAUUAGGGAAGGGCCAGAGAGGAUGAAAUCAAUGAGCACAGGGCUGUUUCUAAGUGCCAUUUCAAUGGGGAUGUUUGUUAGCAGCAUGUUGGUGUCUAUUGUUGACAAAAUAACCAAUAAGCACUGGCUGAGAAGCAAUUUGAAUAAAGGGAAGUUAAACAACUUCUAUUGGCUACUUGCAGUGCUAGGACUUUUGAAUUUCAUGGUGUUUCUUUUCGUUGCAAUGAAGCAUCAGUAUAAUGUGCAGCAUCGUGUUAAGGGAGAUAAAGAGCUUGAGAAUUUCAAUGAUGGGAAAGUUUAAGAUUUGGAGAACAAUUGGAUUGCUGAGGGAAAAAUGGAGCUCUAGUUGGUGUUUGCUUUUGAGCUUAAAUAUGUAACAGUAUAUUGCCAG